CUUUUUUUGCUGGCGACCGGCGCACGGGUGAGUAACACGUAUCCAACCUGCCCUUUACUCGGGGAUAGCCUUUCGAAAGAAAGAUUAAUACCCGAUAGCAUAAUGAUUCCGCAUGGUUUCAUUAUUAAAGGAUUCCGGUAAAGGAUGGGGAUGCGUUCCAUUAGGUUGUUGGUGAGGUAACGGCUCACCAAGCCUUCGAUGGAUAGGGGUUCUGAGAGGAAGGUCCCCCACAUUGGAACUGAGACACGGUCCAA
rnacentral:rRNA from 1 species